GUUUUUAUGGUAUAAUAGUAGGUGACAGUAAAGUUUAAUGACGGUGGCUAUCCAAUCGAAAGUGAGGUGGUGCGUAUGAUCGUACUUCCGAAAUCUUAUGAAAGGAGACGCCUUUUGCCUGUUGAAACAGCGCUAGCCUUAAUGAUUAGUUUCGGUUCUUUAAUCGCAACAAUCAUUUUUGGCAUUCUAGCGAUAGUAA
rfam:Enterococcus mundtii QT 25 plasmid pQY182 DNA, complete genome.